rnacentral:tRNA from 1 species
CGGGGUAUAGUGUAAUGGCAGCACGAGUCCAUGGGGUGGAUUUAGUUCGAGUUCAAAUCUCGAUACCCCGA